GCAAACUUGGUCAUUUAGAGGAAGUAAAAGUCGUAACAAGGUUUCCGUAGGUGAACCUGCGGAAGGAUCAUUAACGAGUUAGGGUCUCCUAGGCCCGAUCUCCCAACCCUUUGUAUACCAAACCAUUUUGUUGCUUCGGCGAGCCCGUCUUCACGGACCGCCGGGGGACCUUUAGAGGACCCCUGGCCCGCGCUCGUCGAUGGCCCAAACCUUUAAAACUCUUAACUAAACGUGUCAUGUCUGAGUACCAAUUUUUAAUUAAAAGCAAAACUUUCAACAACGGAUCUCUUGGUUCUGGCAUCGAUGAAGAACGCAGC
rnacentral:misc_RNA from 1 species